rnacentral:lncRNA from 1 species
AAAGAAAGAAAGAAAGAAAGAAAGAAAGAAAGAAAGAAAGAAAGAAAGCAAACAAAGGAAGGAAGGAAGGAAGGAAGGAAGGAAGGAAGGAAGGAAGGAAGGAAGGAAGGAAGGAAAGAGGGCAUUGCUUCAAAUCUGUUGGAGAUAUGUAAUUUAAAAAUCUCAUUGGAUAUUUCUAAUACACUACUAAUGAUACCUUAGAAACUGGCUCAAUGAUAGAGGGAUUUCUAAGCAGUGUAAUUUCUACAUUCGAUGAACAGCUCCAUGAAUAUGCAAUAUAAAGAAUGAUUGCAGCUAACAUUGUUUCUAAUAAGGCUUAUUCCAAUCUCUGGGUUGCUUUUAAUAAUCACAUAGUCAUUCAGAAGAUUUGUUCUCCUGCUCCAUUUUGAAGGCUGUUCUGUGCUUCAUAAAAUCAGUUCAUAUAAAACCACUGAGUUGAUUUUUCAUUUUGCCUUUUCUGGAUACCUAGGGAUACAAUUGCAACUUGUCAUUUAUUCUAUAUGCAUUUUUGAAAGAUAACAUUUUUUUGUAUUUUGGGGCUGUUGUAAAUAAAAUGCUGUAAUUACAUAGCUUAUAAACAACAAACAACUGUCACAUCCCAACCUAGAGGCUGAGAAGGCCAAGUAGAGCCAGCAGAGGUGGGUUCUAGUGUGAGCACACACUUCCUGCCUCACAGAUGAUGGUCUUGCUGUGCUUUCUCCUGUCAGAUGGGCAAAGGAUGUUCUUGGAGGCCUCUUUUAUGAGCACAAUAAGCCAAACCUGAGAGUCAGAGCCCUCAAUGUGAGCCCUUCACACAGGCUCCGCCACCACACACCCCCGUCUUGUGACUAAAUCUCAACAUAAUGGACUGGGAGAGUGGAUGGCACAAGGGUUCUGACUGUCACACCUGGGUGCGUGUCAUUCAAUAAGAGCAAUGAUGACUUGUUCCACCUAGAAAGUGCUCUGAAUAGAGAGGCAUCUCAAUGCAAUUUCUUCACCAUUACUCACUCAUCUUUUUGUGAUAUCACUUUCCUUUAUUAUCCAGAAACAUAAGUGGAGGAGGGAGAGCUACAGGGCAUGGAUCCACAGAAGAGGAAGUAGGAUAUCACUGUGAUAUAUUCUUUGUUUGUUUGUUUGUUUGUUUGUUUGUUUGUUUGAACUGAGUGUCAGAGAUCCUAGCAGGGUUCUACUCUAUGGACUGGAUGCCUCUUCUGUGAGGUCUUGAAUUCAUGGAAGUGAUUAAAAUCUGAUUUGGAUAGAUUAGCAUAUCUCAGAGAUUUCUAAUUAACUGAGAUUCUCUUCCCCUUGUCUUUUUUUCUCCCUCUUUCUUUUCAUUUUCAUUUUCAUUUUUUUUCUUGCCUUGAUUUUUGUUUUUAUUAAGUCAUUUUUUUUCUUUGUUAGGCAGAAUCUCACAUCAUAACCCCAAAUGACCUGUUACUCACCAUGUGGCCCAGCUGUCUUCAAACUCACCAGCCUCCUGCCUUAGCCUUCUAAAUGCUUGGAUUACAGGCAUGACCCACCAUAACUGGCUUUGUUUUAGUUUCAGAGAAGAUGAAACUGAUGUGCGUCAAAAAGUAAACUACCCACAUUUUAACUGGGCACAUUCCUGUCAAUCUGAUGAGAAUCUAUUUCAUACCCUGCUUUAGCUGGUAGUCUGUCAAGGAAAUGAGCUGAACAUGUCUGUGUACAGCUUUUGUGCCAUCCCUGGAUGAGCGAGCUGUCUGCCUCUAUGUUCUCCACAAAAUGGAAUAUAGCUGUACACCCAAGCCAAGUUAUGGAGGCUGGGAAGACCUAGAAUGUGGCAUCACUAUUUGGAAACCAUGCCGAUUACCGACCGAGCUCUCAAUGGAAAAAUGCAGUCGGCGUGAACCACGCACGAACACAGCAGAGAAAGAAGAAAACACACACCACGAGGAACCCUAAUAGGACAAUACAUUAUAAGCCUCAUGGUACAUCCACUUGGUGUGCUGGGAGAGUCAGGAUGAGGACCUGAGAAGAACAGCAGCUUGAACCUGACUUCAUUUAACAGCCCACUGCCCUCUUGCCAAGAACCCAUCACAGACCUUCCCAGAAGAGAGGGAUGAGCCUCACCUAUGAAUAAGUCCUCAGAAACUCAAAUUUGAUUCUAAUGGAUUGUUUUCUCAGAAAGACUGAGCAUGUCCCCCCACAUCUCUGUCAUUUCCCACAGUAGUAACCUCUGCAGAUGCCACAUAGAAAACAAAACAAAACAAAAAAACAUGAGGUUGGUGGGCAGAUAGGCAGGGUAUAAACAAACAGCCUUGUAACCCAGAAGCUGUGUGAUAUACAGUAAACUUCACAACACUGAAAAGAUGUCCUAUCUGUUAAAAUGGGGUAAUAACAACUACCCGAAUGUUUAGGAAUAGAACUUCAAUAAAUGAUACAUUUUAUAGUACAGCAGACCAUCCUGUAAAGGUUUCAUCCUUCACUGUGGUGAUAAAUAUCCCAAACCACAUUGAAAAGCAUUGCAUCUACAUUUAUCUACACUGUAACUGUACUGUAAAUCAUGGGGGAGGGGAGAAUCAUAAAAACACCACCUGUCACCGUGUCAUUAAAGCAAGUUGGAAGUGAUACUUACAGAAACACAGCAAGAGCACCCCCAGUCACACAGUUCAAUCUCUUAGCAAGCGUUUUCUUUCUAGCCCAGUGGUUCUCAGUUUGGAAUUUUUGGCACUGCCUAGAGAUAGUUUUGUUGUUAAAACUGAGAAAAGAGCCGGGCGUGGUGGCACACGCCUUUAAUCCCAGCACUCAGGAGGCAGAGGCAGG